AACAAUACUUGAAGCUUCUGAGACAGCACUCACCACAUCUUUGUGAAUAUCUUUGACUCCUGUGGCUGUUUUAUCAACCAUAUGUGAUGAUUUUGAGACAGCAGUUGCCACAUCGUGUUGGACAUGUUCGACUCCUUUGGCUACUUUAGAUAUGAUUGAAGAUUUUGAGAAAGCACCGAGCAUGUUGAAGAAUUCCUUUUUGUGGAAAUUAGAAGAUCAAAAUUCAAAACGCAGUGGUUGAAGUUUAAAAAAGGAGACCAGCCUUUUCGAAAAAGCUAUUAACCGAUUAUCUAAAGUAGCCAA
rnacentral:misc_RNA from 1 species